rnacentral:rRNA from 1 species
UACGUAGGGUGCGAGCGUUAAUCGGAAUUACUGGGCGUAAAGGGCUUGUAGGUGGCCUACUAAGUCAGACGUGAAAUCCCUCGGCUUAACCGGGGAACUGCGUCUGAUACUGGAUGGCUAGAGUGUGGGAGAGGGAUGCGGAAUUCCAGGUGUAGCGGUGAAAUGCGUAGAUAUCUGGAGGAACACCGGUGGCGAAGGCGGCAUCCUGGACCACGACUGACACUGAAAAGCGAAAGCCAGGGGAGCAAACGGG